CAUCAAAACUUUUUAGCUAGAGUAUGAUAGAGGAAAGUAGAAUUUCUAGUGUAGAGGUGAAAUUCGUAGAUAUUAGAAAGAAUACCAAUUGCGAAGGCAGCUUUCUGGAUCAUUACUGACACUGAGGAACGAAAGCAUGGGUAGCGAAGAGGAUUAGAUACCCUCGUAGUCCAUGCCGUAAACGAUGUGUGUUAGACGUUGGAAAUUUAUUUUCAGUGUCGCAGCGAAAGCAGUAAACACACCGCCUGGGGAGUACGACCGCAAGGUUAAAACUCAAAUGAAUUGACGGGGACCCGCACAAGUAGUGGAGCAUGUGGUUUAAUUCGAAGAUACGCGCAGAACCUUACCAACACUUGACAUGUUCGUCGCGACUUUAAGAGAUUAAAGUUUUCGGUUCGGCCGGACGAAACACAGGUGCUGCAUGGCUGUCGUCAGCUCGUGUCGUGAGAUGUUGGGUUAAGUCCCGCAACGAGCGCAACCCUCACUUUUAGUUGCCAUCAUUUAGUUGGGCACUCUGAAAGAACUGCCAGUGAUAAGCUGGAGGAAGGUGGGGAUGACGUCAAGUCCUCAUGGCCCUUACGUGUUGGGCUACACACGUGCUACAAUGGUACUUACAAUAGGAUGCAAGAUGGCGACAUCAAGCAAAUCCUAAAAAAGUACCUCAGUUCGGAUUGCACUCUGCAACUCGAGUGCAUGAAGCUGGAAUUACUAGUAAUCGCGGAUCAGCGUGCCGCGGUGAAUACGUUCCCGGGUCUUGUACACACCGCCCGUCACACCAUGGGAGUUGGUUCUACCUUAAGGCAAAGUUUAAAACCUUUGACCACGGUAUAGUCAGCGACUGGGGUGAAGUCGUAACAAGGUAGCCGUA
rnacentral:rRNA from 1 species